AUUGAACGCUGGCGGCAGGCCUAACACAUGCAAGUCGAGCGAGCGGCGGACGGGUGAGUAAUGUCUGGGAAACUGCCUGAUGGAGGGGGAUAACUACUGGAAACGGUAGCUAAUACCGCAUACCAUCUUACUUGCCCAGGUGGGGUUAGCUAGUAGGUUGGGUAACGGCUCACCUAGGCAACGAUCCCUAGCGGGUCUGCAAGGAUGACCAGCCACACUGGAACUGAGACACGGUCCAGACUCCUACGGGAGGCAGCAGUGGGGAAUAUUGCACGAUGGGCGCAAGCCUGCUGCAGCCAUGCCGGGUGUGUGAAGGGGGCCUUCGGGUGGUAAGGCACUUUCAGCGGGGAGGCGUUACCCGCAGAAGAAGCACCGGCUAACUCCGUGCUAGCAGCCGCGGUAAUUC
rnacentral:rRNA from 1 species